GGAGAGAGCGGCCGCCUCCUCGGCCCCAUUUUGUGGGAGGAAGCGGUAGAAGCCGCCCUGGUAAUUUUAACUAAGGGGAGAAAGGAAAGCUCCGGAUGACAGCUCCGGGAACCUGACGCGGCAUCUUGGUGGCUUUGGUUGCUCUUCACGCUCCUGGCCGUUGACUGGGAUCCGAGGGGUCGUGGACCGGCUGAUGCGAUGUAGCAGCGGUGGCCGUGGCCCCGCCACCCGUACAGGAAGACUUUUCGCGAGUUUUUAGACGCCGGAGUCUGUAGGUCUCCUCGUCUGCAUCGUGACCCUCGGAGCCCCAGAGGCCACUGCCCAGCGACUCGGGCCGGAGCGGGCGGGACGAGUGGAUGCCCAGCCGGGAUGGUGCUCCGGGGCUGUGGUUGGGACGAAGGCCUCCAACCUGGAAUAGAAGGUGUCAGAGUCGAGAUCUAGGAUUGUGUGCUAUUACUGUUUCAGGCUAGACGUUAAGAGCGUAUUUUUCCAGUAUCAGUCUGCAAUGGGCAAGCCUAGUCACCUUUAUUUCCAAUUCAGAGUGGAGGGGUGACCUGUUUUUACUUUGCAGGGGAGGUUUCCACUUUUAAGCCACUGACUGCUAUUUGUGUGUGUGUGUGUGUGUGUGUGUGUGUGUGUGUAAGCGUGUAAGCUACAAACAUAAUAUGUGUUUUGCUUUUCAGGGCAAAUAUCAAAAGCUAAAGACUUAAGAGUGACACUAAUAUUUUAACUCCUUUUUAAAGUUUUUAAGAUUUGAU
rnacentral:lncRNA from 1 species